rnacentral:rRNA from 1 species
AGAGUUCGAUCCUGGCUCAGGAUAAACGCUGUCGGCAUGCUUAACGCAUGCAAGUCGGAUAGGAAACAUGGUAAAUGGUAUUUCCAGUGGCAGAUGGGUGAGUAACGUGUAAGAACCUGCCCUUGGAAGGGGAAAAACAGCUGGAAACGGCUGCUAAUACCCCGUAGGCUGAGGAGCAAAAGGAGGAAUCCACCCGAGGAGGGGCUAGCGUCUGAUUAGCUAGUUGGUAAGGCAAUAGCUUGCCAAGGUGAUGAUCAGUAGCUGGUCUGAGAGGAUGAUCAGUCACACUAGGACUGAAACACUGCCCAGACUCCUACAGGAGGCAGCAGUAGGGAAUUUUCUGCAAUGGGAGAAAGCCUGACAGAGCAAUGCCACGUAGAGGUAGAAAGCCCACGGGUCAUGAACUUCUUUUCCUGGAGAAGAAGCAAUGACGGUAACUGGGGAAUAAGCAUUGGCUAACUCUGUGCCAGCAGCCGCGGUAAUACAUAGGAUACAAGCGUUAUCUGGAAUGAUUGGGCGUAAAGUAUCUGUAGUUGGAUUUUUAAGUUCACCGUCAAAUCCUAAGGCUCAACCAUAGACAGGCGGUGAAAACUACCAAGAUGCAGUACGGUAGGGGCAGAGCAAAUUUCCGGUGGAGCGGUGAAAUACAUAGAGAUCAAAAAGAACACCAAUGGUGAAAGCACUCUGCUGGGACGAUAUUGACACUGAGAGAUGAAACAUAAAGGAGAGAAGGGGAUUAGAUACUCCAGCAGUCCUAGUCAUAAAUAAUGGAUGCUAGGCGCUGUGAGUAUCGACCCGUGUUGUGCUUUAGCUAAUGCGUUAAGUAUCCCACCUGAGGAGUACGUUUGCAAGAAUGAAGCUCAAAGAAAUUGACGGGGGCCCAUACAAGCGGUGGAGCAUGUGGUUUAAUUCGAUUCAAAGUGAAGAACCUUACCAGGGCUUGACAUGCCACGAAUCCUCUUGAAAGAGAGGUGGUGUAUGGCUGUCGUCAGCUCAUGCUAUAAGGUCUUGGGUUAAGUCCUGCAACAAGCGUAACCCUCGUGUUUAGUUGCCAUCAUUGAGUUUAGAACCCUGAACAGACUGCCGAUGAUAAGUCGGAGAAAGGUGGGGAUGACGUCAAGNNNNNNNNNNNNNNNNNNNUCAGUUCGGAUUGCAGGCUGCAACUCGCCUGCAUGAAGCCGGAAUCACUAGUAAUCACCAGUCAGCCAUACGAUGGUAAAUUCAUUCCCGAACCUUGUACACACUGCCCGUCACACUAUGGUAGCUGGCCAUGCCCAAAGUUGUUACCUUAACUGCAAAGAGGAGGAUGCUGAAGGGAGGGCUAGUGACUGGAGUGAAGUCGUAACAAGUUAGUCGUACUGGAAGGUGUGGCUG